GUAGUAGGUAAGGAGUAGGUGAAGUGGAGGUGGUAGUGGUGUAGUGGGUUAGGUUUAGUGGAGUAGGUUUAAGUGGGUGAAGUAGGUGGAGAGGUGAAGUGGAUUUUAACAGCCCCCUGCAAACUCAAGGGGGAUAGGAACUAACCAACUUGAGUUUGGAGAGAGUAACAAAACAAGAAAAUACAUAAAAAUAAAAGAGGAUAAGAGA